rnacentral:rRNA from 1 species
CGGCAGUAUUGAAGCUUCGGUGGAUUUACUGGACGUCGAGCGGCGGACGGGUGAGUAACGGCUGGGAACCUGCCCUGACGAGGGGGAUAACCGUUGGAAACGACGGCUAAUACCGCAUAAUGUCUUGAUUCGUUAGAGUCAGGACCAAAGGUGGCCUCUACAUGUAAGCUAUCGCGUUGGGAUGGGCCCAGUUAGGAUUAGCUAGUUGGUAAGGUAAUGGCUUACCAAGGCAACGAUCCUUAGCUGGUUUGAGAGGAUGAUCAGCCACACUGGGACUGAGACACGGCCCAGACUCCUACGGGAGGCAGCAGUGGGGAAUAUUGCACAAUGGGGGAGACCCUGAUGCAGCCAUGCCGCGUGUGUGAAGAAGGCCUUCGGGUUGUAAAGCACUUUCAGCAGUGAGGAAGGUCGUGUACUUAAUACGUGCACGGCUUGACGUUAGCUGCAGAAGAAGCACCGGCUAACUCCGUGCCAGCAGCCGCGGUAAUACGGAGGGUGCGAGCGUUAAUCGGAAUUACUGGGCGUAAAGCGCAUGCAGGCGGUUUGUUAAGUCAGAUGUGAAAGCCCGGGGCUCAACCUCGGAACCGCAUUUGAAACUGGCAGGCUAGAGUCUUGUAGAGGGGGGUAGAAUUUCAGGUGUAGCGGUGAAAUGCGUAGAGAUCUGAAGGAAUACCAGUGGCGAAGGCGGCCCCCUGGACAAAGACUGACGCUCAGAUGCGAAAGCGUGGGUAGCAAACAGGAUUAGAUACCCUGGUAGUCCACGCCGUAAACGCUGUCUACUUGGAGGUUGAGGUUUUAGACUUUGGCUUUCGGCGCUAACGCAUUAAGUAGACCGCCUGGGGAGUACGGCCGCAAGGUUAAAACUCAAAUGAAUUGACGGGGGCCCGCACAAGCGGUGGAGCAUGUGGUUUAAUUCGAUGCAACGCGAAGAACCUUACCUACUCUUGACAUCCAGCGAAGCCUUUAGAGAUAGAGGCGUGCCUUCGGG